rnacentral:rRNA from 1 species
GACGAACGCUGGCGGCGUGCCUAAUACAUGUAAGUCGAGCGGAUCUCUUCGGAGAUCAGCGGCGGACGGGUGAGUAACACGUGGGCAACCUGCCUGUAAGACUGGGAUAACUCCGGGAAACCGGAGCUAAUACCGGAUACUAUGUCAAACCGCAUGGUUUGACAUUCAAAGACGGUUUCGGCUGUCACUUACAGAUGGGCCCGCGGCGCAUUAGCUAGUUGGUGAGGUAACGGCUCACCAAGGCGACGAUGCGUAGCCGACCUGAGAGGGUGAUCGGCCACACUGGGACUGAGACACGGCCCAGACUCCUACGGGAGGCAGCAGUAGGGAAUCUUCCGCAAUGGACGAAAGUCUGACGGAGCAACGCCGCGUGAGCGAUGAAGGCUUUCGGGUCGUAAAGUUCUGUUGUAAGGGAAGAACAAGUGCCGCAGGCAAUGGCGGCACCUUGACGGUACCUUGCGAGAAAGCCACGGCUAACUACGUGCCAGCAGCCGCCGUAA